rnacentral:rRNA from 1 species
GAUGAACGCUGGCGGCGUGCCUAAUACAUGCAAGUCGAGCGAACGGACGAGAAGCUUGCUUCUCUGAUGUUAGCGGCGGACGGGUGAGUAACACGUGGAUAACCUACCUAUAAGACUGGGAUAACUUCGGGAAACCGUAGCUAAUACCGGAUAAUAUUUUGAACCGCAUGGUUCAAAAGUGAAAGACGGUCUUGCUGUCACCUAUAGAUGGAUCCGCGCUGCAUUAGCUAGUUGGUAAGGUAACGGCUUACCAAGGCAACGAUGCAUAGCCGACCUGAGAGGGUGAUCGGCCACACUGGAACUGAGACACGGUCCAGACUCCUACGGGAGGCAGCAGUAGGGAAUCUUCCGCAAUGGGCGAAAGCCUGACGGAGCAACGCCGCGUGAGUGAUGAAGGUCUUCGGAUCGUAAAACUCUGUUAUUAGGGAAGAACAUAUGUGUAAGUAACUGUGCACAUCUUGACGGUACCUAAUCAGAAUGCCACGGCUAACUACGUG